UACAGAGGGUGCGAGCGUUGUCCGGAAUCACUGGGCGUAAAGGGCGCGUAGGUGGUGGCUUAAGCGUGCGGUGAAAGCUCGGAGCUCAACUCCGAGUCGGCCGUGCGAACUGGGCUCACUGGAGCAUAGUAGAGGCAGGUGGAAUUCCGGGUGUAGCGGUGGAAUGCGUAGAGAUCCGGAAGAACACCGGUGGCGAAGGCGGCUCACUGGCCCGGUACUGACGCUGAGGCGCGAAAGCGUGGGGAGCAAACAGG
rnacentral:rRNA from 1 species